UGUUGCAGCCUGAAUCAACUCAGCUGAACAUUAUUGUGGAUUCUAUAAUACUUCCGAUGUUGUGUGAUUCCACAGCAGUGAAGCAAACAGCAGGAAGCUAGUGUGCCCCAUAUUUAUUCUGAUUUGUCUACACAAAGGACAACUGUGUUAUUAUCCCUGCGAGAACCGACACCAUGGCAUCUGCAAAUAGAACUUCUAUAUGCCACAGUAUUAUGAGAUACUGACUGACUUGCCCAAUGUUUUCCGUUUGGGAUUUUCAAGAUUGUUUCAACUGGAAUGCAUCUCUGGAAAGGAAAGUUUAUUACCAGGACGACUGAUUUAGUGACAGGAGACACAUAAGACUGCAGAUACUGGAAUCUGGAGCAAAAGGCAAAUUGCUGGAGGAACUUACUGGGUCA